rnacentral:rRNA from 1 species
GACGUAGGGCGCGAGCGUUGUCCGGAUUUAUUGGGCGUAAAGAGCUCGUAGGCGGCUCGUUGCGUCGGCUGUGAAAACCCGCAGCUCAACUGUGGGCUUGCAGCUGAUACGGGCGGGCUGGGAUUUGGUAGGGGAGACUGGAAUUCCUGGUGUAGCGGUGAAAUGCGCAGAUAUCAGGAGGAACACCGGUGGCGAAGGCGGGUCUCUGGGCCGAUAUCGACGCUGAGGAGCGAAAGCGUGGGGAGCGAACAGG